CGGACGGGCGAGUAACACGUGGAUAACCUACCUAUAAGACUGAGAUAACUUCGGGAAACCGGAGCUAAUACCGGAUAAUAUAUUGAACCGCAUGGUUCAAUAGUGAAAGACGGUUUUGCUGUCACUUAUAGAUGGAUCCGCGCCGCAUUAGCUAGUUGGUAAGGUAACGGCCUACCAAGGCAACGAUGCGUAGCCGACCUGAGAGGGUGAUCGGCCACACUGGAACUGAGACACGGUCCAG
rnacentral:rRNA from 1 species